rnacentral:rRNA from 1 species
GACGAACGCUGGCGGCGUGCUUAACACAUGCAAGUCGAACGGAAAGGCCCUGCUUGCAGGGUACUCGAGUGGCGAACGGGUGAGUAACACGUGGGUGAUCUGCCCUGCACUUCGGGAUAAGCUUGGGAAACUGGGUCUAAUACCGGAUAGGAGCCAUCUUUAGUGUGGUGGUUGGAAAGUUUUUUCGGUGUAGGAUGAGCUCGCGGCCUAUCAGCUUGUUGGUGGGGUAAUGGCCUACCAAGGCGGCGACGGGUAGCCGGCCUGAGAGGGUGUACGGCCACAUUGGGACUGUGAUACGGGCCAGACUCCUACGGGAGGCAGCAGUGGGGAAUAUUGCACAAUGGGCGCAAGCCUGAUGCAGCGACGCCGCGUGGGGGAUGAAGGCCUUCGGGUUGUAAACUCCUUUCGCUAGGGACGAAGCUUUGUUGUGACGGUACCUAGAUAAGAAGCACCGGCUAACUACGUG